AUGACACCCUCUGUGAAAGUGGAAAAGAUUCAUCCGAAAAUGGAUGGCACACUACUGAAAUCUGCGGUGGGGCCAACCUGUCCUGCUACUGUGAGUUCCUUAGUCAAGCCUGGCCUUAACUGCCCCUCAAUACCAAAGCCAACCUUGCCUUCACCUGGACAGAUUCUGAAUGGCAAAGGGCUUCCUGCACCGCCCACUCUGGAAAAGAAACCUGAAGACAAUUCCAAUAAUAGGAAAUUUUUAAAUAAAAGAUUAUCAGAAAGAGAGUUUGAUCCUGACAUCCACUGUGGGGUUAUUGAUCUCGACACCAAGAAGCCCUGCACCCGGUCUUUGACAUGCAAGACACAUUCCUUAACCCAGCGCAGGGCUGUCCAGGGUAGAAGAAAACGAUUUGAUGUGUUAUUAGCCGAGCACAAAAACAAAACCAGGGAAAAGGAAUUGAUUCGCCAUCCGGACUCUCAGCAACCACCGCAGCCUCUCAGGGACCCGCAUCCCGCCCCUCCUAGAACGUCACAGGAGCCGCACCAAAACCCUCACGGAGUGAUUCCUUCCGAAUCAAAGCCUUUUGUAGCUAGUAAACCUAAACCUCACACCCCCAGUCUUCCAAGGUAAGCCAAGCCCUCCAACUCUUUCUCCCACCUUCAGAGAUGAGACUUGCAGAUACUGUAAAAUUUCAGUAUGGUCAUGAUGUUGAGAAACAUAUCUCAGGCUCACUGUGGAGAUAGUUUUUUAAGGAGUUUUACUAUGAAAAAAAAA
rnacentral:sRNA from 1 species